rnacentral:rRNA from 1 species
CCUACGGGGGGCACCAGUGGGGAAUAUUGCACAGUGGGCGCAAGCCUGAUGCAGCGACGCCGCGUGGGGGAUGACGGCCUUCGGGUUGUAAACUCCUUUCGCUAGGGAAGAAGCCUUUUGGUGACGGUACCUGGAUAAGAAGCACCGGCUAACUACGUGCCAGCAGCCGCGGUAAUACGUAGGGUGCGAGCGUUGUCCGGAAUUACUGGGCGUAAAGAGCUCGUAGGUGGUUUGUCGCGUCGUCUGUGAAAUCCCGGGGCUUAACUUCGGGCGUGCAGGCGAUACGGGCAUAACUAGAGUGCAGUAGGGGAGACUGGAAUUCCUGGUGUAGCGGUGAAAUGCGCAGAUAUCAGGAGGAACACCGAUGGCGAAGGCGGGUCUCUGGGCAGUUACUGACGCUGAGGAGCGAAAGCAUGGGUAGCGAACAGGAUUAGAUACCCCAGUAGUC